GGCGCUAUAGCCAAGUGGUUACGGCGACAGAUUCGAAUAAAACUAUUAUCUGUUCCUCUUUGAGGGCGCAGGUUCAAAUCCUGCUGGCGUCG
rnacentral:tRNA from 2 species